UUAAGCGACUAAGCGUACACGGUGGAUGCCCUGGCAGUCAGAGGCGAUGAAGGACGUGCUAAUCUGCGAUAAGCGUCGGUGAGGUGAUAUGAACCGUUAUAACCGGCGAUUUCCGAAUGGGGAAACCCAGUGUGUUUCGACACACUAUCAUUAACUGAAUCCAUAGGUUAAUGAGGCGAACCGGGGGAACUGAAACAUCUAAGUACCCCGAGGAAAAGAAAUCAACCGAGAUUCCCCCAGUAGCGGCGAGCGAACGGGGAGGAGCCCAGAGCCUGAAUCAGUGUGUGUGUUAGUGGAAGCGUCUGGAAAGGCGCGCGAUACAGGGUGACAGCCCCGUACACAAAAAUGCACAUGCUGUGAGCUCGAUGAGUAGGGCGGGACACGUGGUAUCCUGUCUGAAUAUGGGGGGACCAUCCUCCAAGGCUAAAUACUCCUGACUGACCGAUAGUGAACCAGUACCGUGAGGGAAAGGCGAAAAGAACCCCGGCGAGGGGAGUGAAAAAGAACCUGAAACCGUGUACGUACAAGCAGUGGGAGCCUCUUAAUGGGGUGACUGCGUACCUUUUGUAUAAUGGGUCAGCGACUUAUAUUCUGUAGCAAGGUUAACCGAAUAGGGGAGCCGAAGGGAAACCGAGUCUUAACUGGGCGUUAAGUUGCAGGGUAUAGACCCGAAACCCGGUGAUCUAGCCAUGGGCAGGUUGAAGGUUGGGUAACACUAACUGGAGGACCGAACCGACUAAUGUUGAAAAAUUAGCGGAUGACUUGUGGCUGGGGGUGAAAGGCCAAUCAAACCGGGAGAUAGCUGGUUCUCCCCGAAAGCUAUUUAGGUAGCGCCUCGUGAAUUCAUCUCCGGGGGUAGAGCACUGUUUCGGCAAGGGGGUCAUCCCGACUUACCAACCCGAUGCAAACUGCGAAUACCGGAGAAUGUUAUCACGGGAGACACACGGCGGGUGCUAACGUCCGUCGUGAAGAGGGAAACAACCCAGACCGCCAGCUAAGGUCCCAAAGUCAUGGUUAAGUGGGAAACGAUGUGGGAAGGCCCAGACAGCCAGGAUGUUGGCUUAGAAGCAGCCAUCAUUUAAAGAAAGCGUAAUAGCUCACUGGUCGAGUCGGCCUGCGCGGAAGAUGUAACGGGGCUAAACCAUGCACCGAAGCUGCGGCAGCGACACUAUGUGUUGUUGGGUAGGGGAGCGUUCUGUAAGCCUGUGAAGGUAGCCUGUGAGGGUUGCUGGAGGUAUCAGAAGUGCGAAUGCUGACAUAAGUAACGAUAAAGCGGGUGAAAAGCCCGCUCGCCGGAAGACCAAGGGUUCCUGUCCAACGUUAAUCGGGGCAGGGUGAGUCGAUCCCUAAGGCGAGGCCGAAAGGCGUAGUCGAUGGGAAACAGGUUAAUAUUCCUGUACUUGGUGUUACUGCGAAGGGGGGACGGAGAAGGCUAUGUUGGCCGGGCGACGGUUGUCCCGGUUUAAGCGUGUAGGCUGGUUUUCCAGGCAAAUCCGGAAAAUCAAGGCUGAGGCGUGAUGACGAGGCACUACGGUGCUGAAGUGACAAAUGCCCUGCUUCCAGGAAAAGCCUCUAAGCAUCAGGUAACAUCAAAUCGUACCCCAAACCGACACAGGUGGUCAGGUAGAGAAUACCAAGGCGCUUGAGAGAACUCGGGUGAAGGAACUAGGCAAAAUGGUGCCGUAACUUCGGGAGAAGGCACGCUGAUAUGUAGGUGAAGCGACUUGCUCGUGGAGCUGAAAUCAGUCGAAGAUACCAGCUGGCUGCAACUGUUUAUUAAAAACACAGCACUGUGCAAACACGAAAGUGGACGUAUACGGUGUGACGCCUGCCCGGUGCCGGAAGGUUAAUUGAUGGGGUUAGCGGUAACGCGAAGCUCUUGAUCGAAGCCCCGGUAAACGGCGGCCGUAACUAUAACGGUCCUAAGGUAGCGAAAUUCCUUGUCGGGUAAGUUCCGACCUGCACGAAUGGCGUAAUGAUGGCCAGGCUGUCUCCACCCGAGACUCAGUGAAAUUGAACUCGCUGUGAAGAUGCAGUGUACCCGCGGCAAGACGGAAAGACCCCGUGAACCUUUACUAUAGCUUGACACUGAACAUUGAGCCUUGAUGUGUAGGAUAGGUGGGAGGCUUUGAAGUGUGGACGCCAGUCUGCAUGGAGCCGACCUUGAAAUACCACCCUUUAAUGUUUGAUGUUCUAACGUUGGCCCGUAAUCCGGGUUGCGGACAGUGUCUGGUGGGUAGUUUGACUGGGGCGGUCUCCUCCUAAAGAGUAACGGAGGAGCACGAAGGUUGGCUAAUCCUGGUCGGACAUCAGGAGGUUAGUGCAAUGGCAUAAGCCAGCUUGACUGCGAGCGUGACGGCGCGAGCAGGUGCGAAAGCAGGUCAUAGUGAUCCGGUGGUUCUGAAUGGAAGGGCCAUCGCUCAACGGAUAAAAGGUACUCCGGGGAUAACAGGCUGAUACCGCCCAAGAGUUCAUAUCGACGGCGGUGUUUGGCACCUCGAUGUCGGCUCAUCACAUCCUGGGGCUGAAGUAGGUCCCAAGGGUAUGGCUGUUCGCCAUUUAAAGUGGUACGCGAGCUGGGUUUAGAACGUCGUGAGACAGUUCGGUCCCUAUCUGCCGUGGGCGCUGGAGAACUGAGGGGGGCUGCUCCUAGUACGAGAGGACCGGAGUGGACGCAUCACUGGUGUUCGGGUUGUCAUGCCAAUGGCACUGCCCGGUAGCUAAAUGCGGAAGAGAUAAGUGCUGAAAGCAUCUAAGCACGAAACUUGCCCCGAGAUGAGUUCUCCCUGACUCCUUGAGAGUCCUGAAGGAACGUUGAAGACGACGACGUUGAUAGGCCGGGUGUGUAAGCGCAGCGAUGCGUUGAGCUAACCGGUACUAAUGAACCGUGAGGCUUAACCUU
rnacentral:rRNA from 4 species